GACGAACGCUGGCGGCGUGCUUAACACAUGCAAGUCGAGCGGUAAGGCCCUUUCGGGGUACACGAGCGGCGAACGGGUGAGUAACACGUGGGUGACCUGCCUUUAGCUCUGGGAUAAGCCUGGGAAACCGGGUCUAAUACCGGAUAUGACUCCGCGGCGCAUGUUGUGGGGUGGAAAGCCUUGUGCGGCUGGAGAUGGGCCCGCGGCCUAUCAGCUUGUUGGUGGGGUAAUGGCUCACCAAGGCGACGACGGGUAGCUGGUCUGAGAGGAUGGCCAGCCACAUUGGGACUGAGACACGGCCCAGACUCCUACGGGAGGCAGCAGUGGGGAAUAUUGCGCAAUGGGCGAAAGCCUGACGCAGCGACGCCGCGUGUGGGAUGACGGCCU
rnacentral:rRNA from 1 species